GGAGUUAGCCGGUGCUUCUUCUGUGAGUGAUGUCCUUCCUGCCGGCUAUUAACCCGCAGGCCUUCUUCCUCACUGAAAGUGCUUUACAACCCGAAGGCCUUCUUCACACACGCGGCAUGGCUGGAUCAGGGUUGCCCCCAUUGUCCAAUAUUCCCCACUGCUGCCUCCCGUAGGAGUCUGGGCCGUGUCUCAGUCCCAGUGUGGCUGAUCAUCCUCUCAGACCAGCUACGGAUCGUCGCCUUGGUGAGCCGUUACCUCACCAACCAGCUAAUCCGACAUAGGCUCAUCCGAUAGCGCGAGGCCCGAAGGUCCCCCGCUUUCCCCCGUAGGGCGUAUGCGGUAUUAGCCUGGGUUUCCCCAGGUUAUCCCCCACUACCGGGCAGAUUCCUAUGCAUUACUCACCCGUCCGCCGCUCGCCACCAGGGAGCAAGCUCCCCGUGCUGCCGCUCGACUUGCAUGUGUUAGGCCUGCCGCCAGCGUUCAAUCUGAGCCCAGUAGUACUAACCUAACCUUCGUACGUACGUAGGACGGGGCCGGGUCGGUCGGACGGACGGGCCGACUAAGU
rnacentral:rRNA from 1 species